AGUGAACGCUGGCGGUAGGCCUAACACAUGCAAGUCGAACGGCAACACAGUAAGAGCUUGCUCUUACGGGUGGCGAGUGGCGGACGGGUGAGGAAUACAUCGGAAUCUACUUUUUCGUGGGGGAUAACGUAGGGAAACUUACGCUAAUACCUCAUACUACCUACGGGUGAAAGCAGGGGAUCUUCGGACCUUGCGCGAUUGAAUGAGCCGAUGUCGGAUUAGCUAGUUGGCGGGGUAAAGGCCCACCAAGGCGACGAUCCGUAGCUGGUCUGAGAGGAUGAUCAGCCACACUGGAACUGAGACACGGUCCAGACUCCUACGGGAGGCAGCAGUGGGGAAUAUUGGACAAUGGGCGCAAGCCUGAUCCAGCCAUACCGCGUGGGUGAAGAAGGCCUUCGGGUUGUAAAGCCCUUUUGUUGGGAAAGAAAAGCAGCAGGUUAAUACCCCGCUGUUCUGACGGUACCCAAAGAAUAAGCACCGGCUAACUUCGUG
rnacentral:rRNA from 1 species